rnacentral:misc_RNA from 1 species
UAAUAAGUGUUUUAUGGCACUUUUUAAUCCAUAUCCACUGUGGUAGUGCAAUGUCAGUCGAUCUUCUUCAUAGGAGAUUGACCUAACAUCUAACCUUUACUCUUUAAACUACUUUGUCUGAAAAUAUUAUGAAUAAACAAUUCAAAAUA